UUAUUUUGUUGAGUGUGCUUUCCCUGACCUGGGGAAGGAAAAUAAAAACCCAGGCACAGAAACUGGACUGGAGUCUUGUGAUUUAUACCACCGCUACUAACCUUACCAAAUAAGCUGUUAUUACUCCGCCAGGGAUCACUGUUCGGGAGAGGCCCUACCGGAUCCCAGAAAGCCGGUGGAGUGGCGUCCAGAAUGAGGUGAGGGCAAUGCUUGAACUUGGGGUCAUUGAGCCUUCCAGAAGCGAGUGGUGCAGUCCCAUUGUUAUAGUGGCUAAGAAGGACGGCACUUAUCACUUCUGUGUUGACUGUCGCAAGGUCAAUGCUAUCGCCAAGUUCGACACCUACCCCAUGCUUCGGAUUGACGAACUCCUUGACCUACUGGGGACGGCCAGGUUUAUCUCAACUCUGGACCUGACAAAGGGAUAUUUGCAGAUCCCUUUGACCCGCAAUUCAUGUGAGAAGACGGCAUUUUCAACUCCGGGCAGACUGUUCCAUUUUCAGAGACUGAUGGACGAGGUGUUAUAUCCCCAUUAUCUCCCCUCCGACCAGUGAGGACGUUAUGGAGGAGGAGCAGUCAUCCCCAGGGGGGGUGGAAGUCGGCCACCUGGAAAGGAGGCUGAGCCACGGUGCGCAAUGUCAUCGACCCGGUCCGGAAGCACGGUGGCAAUCAGGGAUUGGUUGACGGUGGUUGCCCUCGCUGACCAAUCGGGACGGGACUGAGCGUACAAAUGGGGGCGUGGCCCAUGGUUCUGUUCCUUCUGGCAAGAGCACUAACGGGACGCUCCAGGAAUACUUUGGAGGAGCGACAACCCGGAAGUGCCGGAUUUAUUACCCUGCAUGUUUUUCCCGUUCGCGGAGUACAAAGGGAAGACGGACUGUUUUUGUUUGUUUAUUUGGGACUGCAACCCCAUUUUACUUUAUUUUGUCAGGUUA